rnacentral:misc_RNA from 1 species
AACUUUUAGCAACGGAUCUCUUGGCUCUCGCAUCGAUGAAGAACGCAGCGAAAUGCAAUAAGUAAUGGGAAUUGCAGAAUUCAGUGAAUCAUCGAAUCUUUGAACGCACCUUGCGCUCCUUGGUAUUCCGAGGAGCAUGCCUGCUUGAGUGUCAUUAAUAUAUAAAUCAAUCUUCUCUUGAUGAGUGGUUUGGAUGUGGGGGUUUGCUGGCAGCCUCUUUGAGGAUUCAGCUCCCCUGAAAUGCAUUAGCAGAACAAACCCGUUCAUUGGUGUGAUAAACUAUCUACGCUAUUGAAUGUGAGGUGGCAGUUCAGCUUUCUAACGGUCUUUGGACAAAUUCAUCAUUAAUGUGACCUCAAAUCAGGUAGGACUACCCGCUGAACUUAAGCAUAUCAAUAAGCGGAGGCU